UACGGAGGGGGCUAGCGUUGUUCGGAAUUACUGGGCGUAAAGCGCACGUAGGCGGCUUUGUAAGUUAGAGGUGAAAGCCCAGGGCUUAACCCUGGAAUUGCCUUUAAGACUGCAUCGCUAGAAUCGUGGAGAGGUGAGUGGAAUUCCGAGUGUAGAGGUGAAAUUCGUAGAUAUUCGGAAGAACACCGGUGGCGAAGGCGGCCCGCUGGGCAACUGCUGACACUGAGGCGCGACAGCGUGGGGAGCAAACAGGG
rnacentral:rRNA from 1 species